UACGAAGGGGGCUAGCGUUGCUCGGAAUUACUGGGCGUAAAGCGCACGUAGGCGGCUUUCUAAGUCGGGGGUGAAAUCCUGGAGCUCAACUCCAGAACUGCCUUCGAUACUGGAAAGCUCGAGUCCGGGAGAGGUGAGUGGAACUGCGAGUGUAGAGGUGAAAUUCGUAGAUAUUCGCAAGAACACCGGUGGCGAAGGCGGCAUCCUGGACCGACACUGACGCUGAUGAGCGAAAGCCAGGGGAGCAAACGGG
rnacentral:rRNA from 1 species